rnacentral:rRNA from 1 species
CGCGGCCUAUCAGCUUGUUGGUGAGGUAACGGCUCACCAAGGCAUCGACGGGUAGCUGGUCUGAGAGGAUGAUCAGCCACACUGGGACUGAGACACGGCCCAGACUCCUACGGGAGGCAGCAGUAGGGAAUAUUGCACAAUGGGCGAAAGCCUGAUGCAGCAACGCCGCGUGCGGGAAGAAGGCCCUAGGGUUGUAAACCGCUUUCAGCAGGGAAGAAAAUGACGGUACCUGCAGAAGAAGGUGCGGCCAACUACGUGCCAGCAGCCGCGGUGACACGUAGGCACCAAGCGUUGUCCGGAUUUAUUGGGCGUAAAGAGCUCGUAGGCGGUUCAGUUAGUCGGGUGUGAAAACUCCGGGCUCAACCCAGAGACGCCACUCGAUACUGCUGUGACUAGAGUGCGGUAGGGGAGCGGGGAAUUCCUAGUGUAGCGGUGAAAUGCGCAGAUAUUAGGAGGAACACCAGUGGCGAAGGCGCCGCUCUGGGCCGUAACUGACGCUGAGGAGCGAAAGCGUGGGUAGCAAACAGGAUUAGAUACCCUGGUAGUCCACGCCGUAAACGUUGGGCACUAGGUGUGGGUCUCAACCAACGAGAUCCGCGCCGUCGCUAACGCAUUAAGUGCCCCGCCUGGGGAGUACGG